rfam:Triticum aestivum genome assembly, contig: Triticum_aestivum_CS42_TGACv1_scaffold_621866_7DS
CCUAUACUCCCUCCGUCCGGAAAUACUUGUCAUCAAAAUGAAUAAAAGGGAAUGUGUCUAGACGUAUUUUAGUUCUGGAUACAUCUCUUUUUUAACCAUUUUGAUGACAAGUAUUUCCGGAUGGAGGGAGUACAUA